rnacentral:rRNA from 1 species
UACGUAGGGUGCAAGCGUUGCUCGGAAUCACUGGGCGUAAAGCGCACGUAGGCGGCUUUUUAAGUCAGGGGUGAAAUCCUGGAGCUCAACUCCAGAACUGCCUUUGAUACUGAGGAGCUCGAGUCCGGGAGAGGUGAGUGGAACUGCGAGUGUAGAGGUGAAAUUCGUAGAUAUUCGCAAGAACACCAGUGGCGAAGGCGGCUCACUGGCCCGGUACUGACGCUGAGGUGCGAAAGCGUGGGGAGCAAACAGG